rnacentral:rRNA from 1 species
UACGAAGGGGGCUAGCGUUGCUCGGAAUCACUGGGCGUAAAGGGUGCGUAGGCGGGUUUUUAAGUCAGGGGUGAAAUCCUGGAGCUCAACUCCAGAACUGCCUUUGAUACUGAGGAUCUUGAGUACGGGAGAGGUGAGUGGAACUGCGAGUGUAGAGGUGAAAUUCGUAGAUAUUCGCAAGAACACCAGUGGCGAAGGCGGCUCACUGGCCCGUAACUGACGCUGAGGCACGAAAGCGUGGGGAGCAAACAGG